GAUGAACGCUGGCGGCGUGCUUAACACAUGCAAGUCGAACGAAGCACUUUAUUUGAUUUCCUUCGGGACUGAUUAUUUUGUGACUGAGUGGCGGACGGGUGAGUAACUCGUGGGUAACCUGCCUUGUACAGGGGGAUAACAGUUGGAAACGGCUGCUAAUACCGCAUAAGCGCACAGCAUCGCAUGAUGCAGUGUGAAAAAGUCCGGUGGUAUAGGAUGGACCCGCGGUGGAUUAGCUAGUUGGUGAGGUAGCGGCCCACCAAGGCGACGAUCCAUAGCCGACCUGAGAGCGUGACCGGCCACAUUGGGACUGAGACACGGCCCAAACUCCUACGGGAGGGAGCAGAGGGGAAUAUUGCACAAUGGGCGAAAGCGUGAUGCAGCGACGCCGCGUGAGCAAAGAAGUAUUUCGGUAUGUAAAGCUCUAUCAGCAGGGAAGAUAAUGACGGUACCUGACUAAGAAGCACCGGCUAAAUACGUG
rnacentral:rRNA from 1 species